rnacentral:rRNA from 1 species
UGCAGUCGAACGAGAAAGUACCCUUCGGGGUGCGAGUAAAGUGGCGAACGGGUGAGUAACACGUGGGUAACCUACCUUUGAGUGGGGAACAAUCCCUCUAACGAGGGGCUAAUACCGCAUAAUGCAGCGGCUCCGCAUGGAGACAGUUGUUAAAGGGGCAGCUUCGGUUGUCUCGCUUGAAGAUGGACCCGCGGUCCAUUAGCUUGUUGGUGAGGUAACGGCUCACCAAGGCAACGAUGGAUAGCCGGCCUGAGAGGGUGUACGGCCACACUGGAACUGAGAAAGGUCCAGUCCCCUACGGGGGCCAGCAGUCUAGAAAUUUGCGCAAUGGGCGAAAGCCUGACGCAGCGACGCCACGUGGAGGAUGAAGCCCUUAGGGGUGUAAACUCCUGUCAGAAGGGAAGAAUGCAGGAAAUAACUUUUCCUGUUUGACGGUACCUUCAGAGGAAGCCCCGGCUAACUUCGUGCCAGCAGCCGCGGUAAUACGAAGGGGGCAAGCGUUGUUCGGAUUUACUGGGCGUAAAGGGCGUGCAGGCGGACCGAUAAGUCGUCUGUGAAAUCUGUCGGCUCAACCAACAACUUGCAGUCGGAACUAUCGGUCUUGAGUACAGGAGAGGAGAGCGGAAUCUCAGGUGUAGCGGUGAAAUGCGUAGAUAUCUGGGAG